rnacentral:rRNA from 1 species
UACAGAGGGUGCGAGCGUUGUCCGGAAUCACUGGGCGUAAAGGGCGCGUAGGUGGCGGGAUAAGCGUGUGGUGAAAGCUCGGAGCUCAACUCCGAGUCUGCCAUGCGGACUGUCUUGCUCGAGCGUAGUAGAGGCAGGUGGAAUUCCGGGUGUAGCGGUGGAAUGCGUAGAGAUCCGGAAGAACACCGGUGGCGAAGGCGGCCUGCUGGGCUACUGCUGACACUGAGGCGCGACAGCGUGGGGAGCAAACAG